rnacentral:lncRNA from 1 species
CUUCGCAUUGCAGCAGACCUGGGGGAGCUCUUGGGCACUCUAAUGCCAAGAAUAUGUGUUAUUUCAUAUUCUGUUAUUUACUUUGAGUUUAAGGUGGUGAGAGGAAGUUCCCAGAAAACAGCUGUAAGCGUUCUCACAGCAAGCAAGUCUUUUCAGUGCUUGAACAUCUCUCAUUAAAGGAGUAAAAAAAAUCCCUCUAUCUGCUUUUUGUAGUUCAGUCGUUUACCACAUAUCUAGACAGAAGCCUUUAAAAAAAAAUCCAAAUGUUAGAGCGUACAAGAAAUAAUUCCUGUGUCAUUUUAUCUGUCUAAUUGGGCCUAAAAAUAGCCUGUGGGAAGGAGGACCAGAAGCCUUGAGUGUCUGAGGCAAUUUGCAUCAAUUAUUUCCCAAUGUACCAGUCACAAGUGAAAGCCCUUGCCUGAGUGCCUCCAUUAGCCAGGUGUCAGAGCUCUCUCUGUUUUCAUUUCAGGCUUUUUGCUGGGAACAGGGUGUGUGCGGGCUGAAAAGCACUGAGGAGGAACUGAGGCCAUACCUGAUCCUGGGGGGUGCCCAGAGCAGCUCUGCAAGCAAGGUUAGCGCCUUUGCUCCUCUGUCAUCACCAGUCCCUGAGAGCAAUCACCACCCACCAGCAGUUCCUCAAGAUAAGACCGAGCCAGCUGGGAGAAGAAAUCCUUUGAUAUUUCCCUGCCUCGCUGAAGACAAUCUCAUUAAGCUCCUGCAGAGGUACUGGGAGAAAAGGAACUGAUUCUGAGUAUACUUCCAAAAGACACUGAAGAAGCAGCAGGAAAAUUCUGGUUUGCACUGAGGGAGUUGUGGCAGACAGCACAGCUUGCAUGGAUGUCUCAGCAACCAGUCUGCAAGCUCCAGCAGGACCCAAGGUCUGUAUACACUUGGGCAUCCCAAAAAAUGUGCUGUAAUGUUUGAGACCUAAGGGACUCAGCAGUGUCGACUCUGAGAAUAGCAGUGAUUUUCAACAAUCUCUUCUUCUGUCUACACUUCCAAUGCUCAGUCUGUCUAAUUACUUCUGGGUUCUUG